ensembl:lncRNA
GUGAGUGUUGAAAUAGCACAGCAGUUCUCAAACUUUAACGUGGAGUCCUGUCCGGAGGCUGGGGCUUCCCAGGUGGUGCUAGUGGUAAAGAACCCGCCUGCCAACGCAGGAGAUGUAAGAGGUUCGAUCCCUGGGUCAAGAAGAUCCCCUGGAGAAGAAAAUGGCAACCCACUUCAGUAUUCCUGCCUGGAGAAUCCCAUGGGCAGAGGAGCUAGAGUCCAUGGAGUCGAAAAGAGCUGGAUAUGAGUGAAGUGACUGAGCCAAGGCCACAAGUGUGAGGCCUUGCUCUAGGGCCACAGAAGCUGAGCCCAGAAAGGAGGUCAUCUCCGGAACUGACAACCCCUUUGUAACUGUUGCCAAAAGCCCCCCUGAUUAUCACCAGCAGGUUUCCUGAUCCCAUAUUAGUCAAAAAUGCCUGCCCCCAGUACUCACCCUAUAGCAUCCUAACCUGUCACCUAAGGCCACUCUUUCAGCUGGAAUUUUCUCUGUCUUGAGGCUAUAAAAACUGGCUGCUGCUAAGUCACUCCAGUCGUGUCCAACUCUGUGACACCAUAGACGGCACCCCACCAGGCUCCUCCUCCCCACCAGGAUUCUCCUGGAGAAUCCCAGGUUUUGAUUUUUUUGGAUCUGAACCCACCCCUGCUGCACUAGGAGGCAAGGUCCCAAGCACUGGACUGCCAGGGAAGUCCAGAGAAACCCUGCUCUAAGUGAUCCAACUGGGCAAGACUUGGAUUUGUAUAAAAGUGGUGGACGUUGGAAUAUACCUCAGGAGAUGAUUGAUGUUGACUUUUCAUUUCCUGGAAGGAAAAGAUCCUCAAAAACUACCUAACAUUCUCUGAAGCUAGAUUCUGCUCCUUGCUCCUGGAUCUCACUCAAGGAUGAGCAAGACAGUUACGCCUCUCAGGAAGCUUGCAGAUUUCAGAUCCCAGGGCAGCCGCCCAACAAAGCACCAGAGCUUGGCUCCCAGCGGGGCAUAUUCCCAGAGCAGCAUCCAUCCGGGAUCCGCAUCCGGCAGGCCUUGCUCUGCUCUGCAUCCUCGCUUAGGAUGGCAUAGGUGUUGAUUACACCGUGUUCCCAUUCUCUGCUUCCAACCCAUGGGCUAACGAAUGAGGGCAGUCCUCGUGGGUUCUGAUUAGAAUCUUCACAUAUCCGUCCCUAAAUUUGCAGAAUAUCAUAAGCC